ensembl:processed_transcript
GGCCUUGCAGUUGGGUUUCCUAGCGCUGGGAGAAGAAGAGGCAAGGCAGCUCGGUGGAUGGGCGAGCUCGCUUUGCCCGCGUGAGGACGUGGGAAUAUAUGUGAGUCUGAUGGCUAGCUGGUGUGGUAUCACUGAGAGGGCCCUGAUGAAGAAUAAUGCAGGGCUGAUGGCUCAGCCAGCAAAAGCACUCACUAAACAAGCCCAGCGAGCUGACCUUGAUGCCCGGUACUCAAAAUGGAGGGAGAGAAGCGACUCCUAAAAACCGUCCCCUGAGCUGGCCAGUGGCGGCACACAUCUUAGAUCCCAGCACUUGGGAGGCAGAGGCAGGUGGAUUUCUUGAGUUUGAGGCCAGCCUGGUCUACAGAGUGAGUUCCAGGACAGCCAGGGCCACACAGAGAAACCCUGUCUUGAAAAACUAAUAAUAAUAAUAAUAAUGUGGAUGACUCUUCUAAAGAAACCCGUGUUCAAUCUUUGCCUAUAUGAACAUAUGUGCUAGUGCAUAUACAACUGCACCCUGUGUUCAUACACACACACACACACACACACACACAGAGAGAGAGAGCAUGGUGGCCAUAAUCCCAGGACUCUGGAGGCUGAGGCAAGGGAAUUAUGAUUUCAGGGUCAGCUGGGCUACAGAUACUGCCUCAAAAGCUGUCUCAAGGGUUGAGAGCACUGCUUGCCUUUCCAUGGGACCUGGGUUCAAUUCUCAGCACCCACAUGGCAGCUCACAACCAUAUGUAACUCCAGUUCCAAGGGAUCUGAUGCCUGCUUCUGGCUUCCAUGGGCACCAGGCAUGCAUGUGGUACACAGACAUACAGGUAGACAAAAUACUCAUACACACAAAACAAGUAAAGCACAUGCAGGAAAGAAAGAAAAUAAACAGGGAGAAGAGAAACUUGCAGCCUCUCCUUUUAGUAGAAUGGCAAGUAGUAAAUAGGAUUUGGAAGGUCAGGAGUGAAGAAACAAAACAGGAUGUUUACACAGAUGUGCCUCUCGCCAAUUAGUCACCACAAUGCAAAACUGGUACUGUUCUAGUUUCUUGGUCCAGCAGAACAAAUUAAUCAAGGCAACCAAUGUCAACACCUCCUCAACGGGUCAUGCAAAGAUCAUGUGCCUCCCAAUAGGAUACACUGAGCAGGGCACACAUCACUUCUGUAUGACUGCUGUGUCAUUAAGUGACAGAGCUCUUGCCUAGCACUCCUGAAGUUCUGAGGCUUAUCUUCAGUACCAUCAUCACCAGCCCCUCAGCCUCCUAAAAACAAAGUGCAUAGGCAAAUCUCAGAAGAAAACAUUGGAUCAACUACGACAAAGUAGAUAUCCGAGUGCUGAAAAAGCAGGGCCUAAAGGAGACUAAAGGAACGUGGCCACAAUAUGUUCAUGGUCCAAAGUUGCAUCCUGGGCUGAGGAAUGCAGUAGAAGAGCUUUAAUGAACAGUACUGAGACACAUUAUUUACAUCACAGCAUUUACAUAUGGACGGAAGGUUAACUGUUAAUGACUACUGUUUCACAUGGC